rnacentral:snRNA from 1 species
AGGGCGAGGCUCAGCCAUUGCACUCCGGCUGUGCUGACCCGUGCGAAUUCCCCAAAUGUGGGAAUCUCG